CAAUAGCAUAUAUUAAAGUUGUUGCAGUUAAAAAGCUCGUAGUUGGACCUUGGACCUGGACAGGCGGUCCGCCUCACGGCGUGUACUGUCUUGCUGGGUCUUUCCUCUUGGUGAUCUGUUGUUUCGGCAGCAGGGAACCAGGACUUUUACUUUGAAAAAAUUAGAGUGUUCAAAGCAGGCUCGACGCCGGAAUAUAUUAGCAUGGAAUAAUAAAAUAGGACGUGCGGUUCUAUUUUGUUGGUUUUUGGAAUCGCCGUAAUGAUUAAUAGGGACAGUCGGGGGCAUUAGUACUCACAUGCUAGAGGUGAAAUUCUUGGAUUUUGUGAAGACUAACUUCUGCGAAAGCAUUUGCCAAGGAUGUUUUCAUUAA
rnacentral:rRNA from 1 species